UGCCCAUGAAUAAAAACAUCAUGGGAGUCCAAACCAAAAAUUAUGGCGGCCUAAUAACACCUCAGAGAAGUAUGGGGCUUAAAACGAGGGUCCACGAACAUCUUACUUCAUCUCGUAAUCAAUUAAAUUGAGGGACAUAUCCCAGCAGUCUCCAUAUCGCCGUCAAAUUGGACAUAGUUCAAACUAUGCUGAUCGGGUUUAAUUACCCCAACCGUUCAGGUAUAGAUGUAGUUUAUGGUGAAGGUGCUUUGUACCUCAUUAAAAAAGCUUCUGAUUACACUUUAAAAGUUAGAUGAAGGUGAAUUUGAAAGUAAUGCUUUUUUAAUAUAUCAGCAUGAAGAGUGUGAUGCUAGGUGUA
rnacentral:rRNA from 1 species